UUUAUAGAGAGUUUGAUCCUGGCUCAGGAUGAACGCUGGCGGCGUGCCUAACACAUGCAAGUCGAACGGAAGCAAUUGGAGUUUACUUUAAUUGCUUUAGUGGCGGACGGGUGAGUAACACGUGAGCAACCUGCCUUUCAGAGGGGGAUAACGUUUGGAAACGAACGCUAAU
rnacentral:rRNA from 1 species